CUCAAACUCCAGACCUCAGGUGAUCCACCCUCAUCGGCCUCCCAAAGGGCUGGGAUUACAGGUAUGAGCCACUUUUAAACUUUAACAUAACUUCCUAAAAAUAAAGCUCUUAGCACAGAGCCUACGGCCCAUUUAACAGAGAAGGAAAAUGAAGCUGAGAGCAGGGAUGUCUACCUUCUUUCUGAAAGGCACAGUUGGUAAGUGGCAGAGGUGAAAUUUGAACCCAGGCAAACUGACUUUAGAGCCUCAGGGCAAUGUCAAUGCCAUAUUGCCUCCAGAUGUUUGGGGUACCAUGCUAAUAACUGUCAGGGGCCACAGAUAUGACACAAAUUUUGUCCUCCAAGAGCUUAUGGUUAUAAUUUAAGCUGAAAGUAAAUAUGAGUGAAGGCACUGAAAGAAAUGCCAGGCAGUCUGCACAUUGGUGGCCAGAGGAGAGAUACAGAAACACGGCUAUUAUGGGAGUCCUGAGAAGAGGGCAAUAGAAACUUGGCAUCACUGAAGUGUCAUUAUAAAAGCAGCCAAAAGCGUUGUCAGCAUUCUGCAAGAUUUCCAUUGCCUUAUCCAAAGAAAUAGGAGCAGGAGAGAGAUGCUAUAAAAGGAAGAAUAAAGGAAAUAACUAUUUAUCAUCUGUGUUUUCAGUCAUCCCUCACUUGGCUGAGCUGACAGCCUAUGAUAAUCAGGCUAAGGUGGUUUGUCAGGUAAUUCUGUGCAGACCCAUAGGUCUUUGGCUUCCUAUCACCUCCCUUCUCCCACCUCCCUAAUCAGAAGUAACGCUUUCUUCAUUGCCUUUGCCCUUCUCCUCUCGCGGCCUUUCUUAAUACGCUGUCCACACUGACUGUAUCCUAGUUUCCAUUUCUGCUUUGAAUUUAGUAUUACACAAGUAUAGUGUUUUGGAAUAGUCCCCGCUGAUAACAUCACCAUUGCUCUCCCAAGUGCCUGAGUCAUCAGGGAUAAGUUCCCUGAAGUACCUCUGCUGACCAGUAUGGCUAGGUCACCUCAUGGCACAGACAGAUUCAGCAUGAGGCAGAGUAGCCAAUAGUUAUGACUCCUCCCCAAAGUCUGCACCAAUUCUGACACAUACACAUGUACCCACACCCAUUUUCAGGGGACUAUCAUAUCCCUGAUUCAAGAAGGAGAAAAGAAGUAAAGCUGUAGCCUGACGCCUUGGAAGAGAUUUAUGAAACCAUUUGUUAAGAGUUGACUUGUGCAGAUUUCAACAUGAUGGAAUGGUGGUAGUUUAUAUUGGUUGUUGAAAUUUGUGCAGAGAACUUCCUGCAGUGAUGGAAAUGUUCUCUGUCUGGGUUGUCUAACACAGUGGCCACAUGUGGCAUCUGAACCCAUGAAAUGUGGGACUUGAAGUAAAAACGAGGAAAUAAAUUUCAACUUUUAUUUAAUUCCAAACAAAUUUAAAUUUUAACAGCCACAUUUGACUAGUAGCCACCACAUAGAACAGGGUAGCUGUGGAUCAAAGUAUCCAAAUAUUCAGAACUGACAAUCUAGGGGGAUCUAGUGUACCAAUGCUAAUACUAGCGUGGUGUCUUCCUAGACAUAUGAGAUACCUUAUAAAGUUAGUUUCUAUACAUGACUGUAUUUGAGCAGAAAGGUCUGAGUACAUCAAGGAUUUCUAUUGUACAAAUAUUUAUUGGAAGUACAUAUAUGCCAUUUAUCCUCCAGGUCCUGUCUCAGUCUCAGAAUCUUUCUCAGUGCAAUGUUUCAGGUAGCUAGUGCCAAUUGGUUGUAUUCGUGAAGACAGAGACACCUGAUUUCUAUCUUUGAGGUGCUAGAGACAAUAUAUAUAGUGCACUUUGAUAUACACAUCAUCUAUUAAGGCUUGAUGACCAAAUGAUCUUUAAGAUCUGAUCAUCAGAUUGUAUGAUUCCAUCAAUUAAAAGAGAAUCAGUUCUACAUCUUAUCCACACUUCUUUAUAGACCCUCUGAAGAGAAACCACCUUUGUAGCAGUAAAAGAUGCUAAAAGGAUGGCCCUCUACUUCCAAUACACUCCCUCCCCACACAUAAAAAAGAAAAAAAUGUACAGCAAGGUUUUAAACUGUCUAUUGGCUGAAGUGAUAUCAAAUAACUGAUUGUUUUCUUUGGUUUCUGGAUUAAUGUAUGCACUGUGUCAGGCCAAGUCAUAAGCAUUACAAAAACUUACUAAGGUCACGGACUGUUAGGUGCUGGUAUAGUACAAGGUUUAAUGCCAAGUUAUUAAGUAUUGUAAAGUGACAUAGCAAAACCAACAAAGCUUUACCAGGUUGUACUUAAGUCAAACAGUAAUGCUGUGUGAUAAAUACAAUACAUGUGAUAAAUACUAUAUAUAUAUAUAUAUAUAUAUAUAUAUAAAUUCUAGCAUCUAAAUGUACAUGUGUAUAUGUAGGGAUUUCAGUGAUUUCCCAGUGAUUUUUUUAAACACAAUCAGGUUGGCCUAAACCAAGAGGAGUUAUGAGUAAAGAGGUACAUGAA